rnacentral:rRNA from 1 species
AGCAGCCGCGGUAAUUCCAGCUCCAAUAGCGUAUAUUAAAGUUGUUGCAGUUAAAAAGCUCGUAGUUGAAUUUCGGGAUCAGUACGCUGGUCAUGCCUUUGGUAUGCACUGGUGUCACUGGUUUCUCCCUUCUGAAGAUCCGUGAUGUCAUUAAUUUGGUGUCGCGGGGAAUCAGGACUGUUACUUUGAAAAAAUUAGAGUGUUUAAAGCAAGCUCACGCUUGAAUACAUUAGCAUGGAAUAAUGAAAUAGGACGUUUGACCCUAUUUUGUUGGUUUCUAGGAUCGACGUAAUAAUUAAUAGGGAUAGUUGGGGGCAUUAGUAUUCAAUUGUCAGAGGUGAAAUUCUUGGAUUUAUUGAAGACUAACUACUGCGAAAGCAUUUGCCAAGGAUGUUUUCAUUAAUCAAGAACGAGAGUUAGGGGAUCGAAGACGAUCAGAUACCGUCGUAGUCUUAACCAUAAACUAUGCCGACUAGGGAUCGGAUGAUGUUAAUUUUAUAAUGACUCU